rnacentral:sRNA from 1 species
UUAUUGUAGCGGCUCAUGCAUUUCGUCACAUGUUCCAACACCAAACACAGGGACUUUGUAUUAAGCUUUCUCUGUGGGCCCCGUUGGAAUUCCCGGUCCCAGAUCUGCCAACCAAGAGAGCUUCAAAUUAGGGCUGGCCUUACUGACUUUUUUUCUUCUCCAGCUCAGCCAGACGUCCAGGAUCCCACCCCUUGCAAAAGACCACGCCGUGGAAGCCAUGUUCCCACCAGCCAGGGGGAAGGAGCUGCUCUCAUUUGAGGAUGUGGCGAUGUACUUCACCAGAGAGGAGUGGGGCCACCUCAACUGGGGUCAGAAGGACCUCUACCGAGAUGUGAUGUUGGAGAACUACAGGAACAUGGUCUUGCUGGGUAGGACACGGCUUGAAGAUUGGGCUUUGUCUGUGUUCUGAGUGUCUGUGCAAGCCCUUAGUCCCUUAUCUGCAAUUCCAGAAUCAGAAAAAGCGGUGAAAACCGAAAGUUUUUUU